ACAGAGAAGCGGGUGGACCGCAGCCCUGGAGGACACCCUCCACCCUGUAGCCCAGUGGCUGCACACAGGACACUUGACACCCAUGGCCUUGUCGUUUGGACCCACACAGCUGCUCCCUCGUCUUGGCUUCACUCAUUACAGGCAGCUUUCCUUUUUUUAGAUCCUUGAGUCCAAGACCAGGCAGCCUAAUCAGUUUGGCCUCUGGUGAGGGCCUUAUGGUGGAUGACUUCACCGUGGUGGGAUUGUGUGUCCAUGGGAUAACUAUGGCAAGAAAGAAGACCCGGGAGUCGCAGGGGAGAAGAUCACUCCUUACAGUUACUGUCCUGCUGUGGGGAACUAGUUUGCACCUUUAUCUGUUUUCUUGAGAUUGGGAAGUGGCCUAUAGCAUCAGCCAGCCAAACGGAAGAGAGAACAAUAAAAUUGAGUAACUUCUCAGGGCGACAAUAAAGCCAGCGCACUACACAUAAUGUUAGACAUACCACCAGCGUCCAAAAAAAUAAACCUUUAUCAGGGUGACGCUUCUGCAUUAUUAAGAAUCUUGUGGGGUAAUUUAAUGGCAAGCAUUGUGCAGUCCACUCAUUUUCUUGAUUCAAACGGAACAUAGGACUUAUGGGAGAUGCCACAGGGGAAGAUUAAUGCAGGGCUAGUGGCUGACACUUAGGGACUUCUGUGUUGCAUAUGAAACCUGAAAUGAAGGAAAACUGGGACUCCCUUUAACUCGACCGUCUGAGGGAACGAGCCACCAUUAACCUCUGCAGAUCUCCUGCCUGUUUGCUCACUUUAUGGAUUGGGAACAGGAUGUGCUGGGGCUGGACACCUGAGAGACCUGUGCACCUGUGACCCCCAUCCAAGACAGACCCAGCACGAGUCUUUUCAAGUCCUUUUACCCACCUGUGAAAAUGGGGUGAUGACAGACCACCUUCAUGGGUGAGUGUGUGUUUGAACAGAAGCAAGUUCUACACAUAGGUAAUGUCCAAGGUGAGCAUCUGCCCAUCCCAGGAAUCGCACAUCAAGCUGGGACACAAUGUUGAGCAUGACCAACCCCUCUACCUUCUCAGGGCCACCUGCUCCAAGCAGGGCCCCCAGCACUGAACUCACUUUAUGGCUCCAGUCUUCUCGGCUGCUCCUCCCACAUCAAGGAGCCCCACAGCUACCAGAGCCUGAAUCAUGGAAGUGACUAGGGGCAAUGCAGAAGGGAGCUGGGGAGCUGGCUUUGGGCUCUUGUUUCGAAAGCCAGGUUGGUGGUUAUCCUGCCUUAUGUAACCAGGAUCACGGAUUGCAUCUGUGAAGGCCUUGUGCUGCAUUUUAAAGCAAGUGUGCAUUUACACAAACAGGCACGGCCCCACCAAAGUGCAUGUAAUGAGGCAUGAGUACCGCAAGCCUUGAGUAUCUGGAGAAACGGGACAGUGUAUCAGGUGGUACAGAGGAAAGAUGUCAAGGAAAACGUGAAAGGGCUGGUGUCAGUGCCCCACCCACGACUCGGUCCCUUAGAAGUACGUGGGGGAUGCUGAGUGUUUUAGAAAACACGGCGCCGCUCUUUCAGCGAAGAGCCAAUCCAGUCCAUGUCUCUCUGUGGUUUUGGAUGAUAUUCAUCUCAAGCGUGUGUUCCAAUCUCCAGCCAUCAUCAGAGGGGAGCGUGGGUGGUGAACUGGUGGCAUCGCUGGUGCGGUGAUACCCUGGUUAGAGCGUCAUCCUGGCAUGCAGUAACCCUAUCCGGCCUCUUUAGUGCCUCAGCCUAACGCCCACUUCAUCCUGGUGAUCCAGGAAUGCACCUGACCUUGCAGGGGAUCCUGCCAGACCCUGCUUUCCUUUUGAACCAUGGUUCCAUCUCCCUGUUGCCCAUCUCACGCUUCCUCUCUCUCCAAGCUGGACGGUCAUUCUCUCUGAUUUCUUUCUCUGGUUAAAUCACUCCUCCUUUGGGUCCUGUGUUCCGGCUGUGAUGUGGCUAUUGCUCUAGCUGCCCUCACUGUCACCCCCCAUCUAUGUGUGUUUGGGAGAUAAUUCGAACUAUGAAUUUGAGGCUUCAAAUUAAUUGUUUUCUUAAUUACCAAACUAAAUUUAGCUGGAGAGGCUGCAGGGAAGCAGGCGUACUCAUCUGUUACUGGUGUUACUUGCGUUCUUCUGACUCUCUGGAAAUGCAUGUGGCAGAAUGCCUCGAGAGUCUUCUGUCAUUAGUCCUCCUUAACCCGGUAAUUGAACUCCUGAAAAUCCUGUCUGUGAAAUGAAUUCCAAACCUAAGCACAAAAUCGCGGAGAUAUUCAGGAUAGGAUUCUUCAUAAUUAUCCCCAAAUGAUCCUGUAAUAGUCGAAUGUCCUCAAGAA